rnacentral:misc_RNA from 1 species
CGGGUUGCCCAGAUACAUAAGUAAAUGAGACGACCCUUAGUGAGUUGGUGUUGCGUGACGGUUUUUUUGUUUAGAGGGGUUACUCUGCGUAUUAUGCUAUUUUAGUUUGGAUUUGAGAGGAUCCAGGUAAAAACCUCUCCCGAUCUCUAGGGGUGAUAUAUUUUGAGUGAAGAAUCUCGGAAAAGAACUCUCCUCCGAUCUCCGUAUGUUUAUUGAAAUUUGGUUUGAAAAUCGGAUAAGAACUCUCCUCCG